UGCAGAUCAAUAUACUAUUAAACAAAAACUGCUUAUUUUCAGAAUAAUGCUUACACUAGUAUUCUUGCAAAUGCCAAUAUAUUAAUCUAUGCAUUAAGUUUAAUAUAUUUUUCUCUAAUUAUAGUGAUUAAGAUAUUUCUUCCAUCCACUUCUCUUUCCAUACGAAUGAUAAAAGUGAAAGACAUGGAGCGAUGUCUAGUGAGUACUGACUACAAGAAAUGAAGUGUAUAUGUAUAUUAUUACACUUCAAUCUCAUCGUCCUCUUCAUGACGUUCGUCUUGUCAAAUCAAAGCCCAUAUCAUCAUAUCGUUCUCAUGAUCAUGAUAAAUCAUCAACCAUGAAAAUGCAUGUGAGGAUGAGGAGGACACAAUUCUCUCGUGAACAUGUUUGUUCUCUUAAUAGUACAUACACGUCGUAAACAUGUUUAGUAAAAGCUUUGGUAACAACUGGAGAGAUAUACGGAAAAUCUUGAUUAACAUUAAUUAUUUAUUUAUUCUUUUGUUAAAGGGUAACAUUAAUUAUUUAGAUUGGUAACAUGUUAUACACUUGAUGUAGUUUGAGUUAGGAGUAUUAAUCACAAAUGUUACAAAUCAUGAUUUGAUUAUAAAUUUUUUAUUUUGUUUUUGAAUUAUAAUGUGACAAGGUUGAGUUAUACUUUGAGUUAUCUCCUUUGCAAAAUCAACAAAUCAAAUAGUACAUCAACAUCAAAGAAAAUUGUAUAAAUAGCGCUUGAUUUGACUUAAGUUCGUAUUUUUGUUUGGUUGUCCA
rnacentral:lncRNA from 1 species